CAUUAGACCAGUCUGCAGCCCGCUACAGAAGCUUUGGAAGCCAUGGCACCUCUGACGGAGUUUGCUGAAAACAGGGAGGUAUCCACUGCCUCCAUUGCCAUUACGUCACGUAUCCAACGAGCUAGUGAACUGGUAUGCACCGGAAGGGUGCGGUCUCGGAAAUGAAAUGAAGAGCUGGUGAUAACCAUCGGAGUGAAUGGAGCGUGUUUGUUCCAAGUAGGAUUU